rnacentral:rRNA from 1 species
AAAUCGUACCCCAAACCGACACAGGUGGUCAGGUAGAGAAUACCAAGGCGCUUGAGAGAACUCGGGUGAAGGAACUAGGCAAAAUGGUGCCGUAACUUCGGGAGAAGGCACGCUGGUGUGUAGGUGAAGCCCCUGCGGGUGGAGCUGAGACCAGUCGAAGAUACCAGCUGGCUGCAACUGUUUAUUAAAAACACAGCACUGUGCAAACACGAAAGUGGACGUAUACGGUGUGACGCCUGCCCGGUGCCGGAAGGUUAAUUGAUGGGGUUAUCCGUAAGGAGAAGCUCUUGAUCGAAGCCCCGGUAAACGGCGGCCGUAACUAUAACGGUCCUAAGGUAGCGAAAUUCCUUGUCGGGUAAGUUCCGACCUGCACGAAUGGCGUAAUGAUGGCCAGGCUGUCUCCACCCGAGACUCAGUGAAAUUGAACUCGCUGUGAAGAUGCAGUGUACCCGCGGCAAGACGGAAAGACCCCGUGAACCUUUACUAUAGCUUGACACUGAACAUUGAGCCUUGAUGUGUAGGAUAGGUGGGAGGCUUUGAAGCGUGGACGCCAGUCUGCGUGGAGCCAACCUUGAAAUACCACCCUUUAAUGUUUGAUGUUCUAACGUUGGCCCCUUAUCGGGGUUGCGGACAGUGUCUGGUGGGUAGUUUGACUGGGGCGGUCUCCUCCCAAAGCGUAACGGAGGAGCACGAAGGUUAGCUAAUCCUGGUCGGACAUCAGGAGGUUAGUGCAAUGGCAUAAGCUAGCUUGACUGCGAGCGUGACGGCGCGAGCAGGUGCGAAAGCAGGUCAUAGUGAUCCGGUGGUUCUGAAUGGAAGGGCCAUCGCUCAACGGAUAAAAGGUACUCCGGGGAUAACAGGCUGAUACCGCCCAAGAGUUCAUAUCGACGGCGGUGUUUGGCACCUCGAUGUCGGCUCAUCACAUCCUGGGGCUGAAGUAGGUCCCAAGGGUAUGGCUGUUCGCCAUUUAAAGUGGUACGCGAGCUGGGUUUAGAACGUCGUGAGACAGUUCGGUCCCUAUCUGCCGUGGGCGCUGGAGAAUUGAGGGGGGCUGCUCCUAGUACGAGAGGACCGGAGUGGACGCAUCACUGGUGUUCGGGUUGUCAUGCCAAUGGCACUGCCCGGUAGCUAAAUGCGGAAGAGAUAAGUGCUGAAAGCAUCUAAGCACGAAACUUGCCCCGAGAUGAGUUCUCCCUGAGACUUUAAGUCUCCUGAAGGAACGUUAAAGACGAUGACGUUGAUAGGCCGGGUGUGUAAGCGCAGCGAUGCGUUGAGCUAACCGGUACUAAUGAACCGUGAGGCUUAACCUU